AAAGCAAUUAUUUCGUGCCGCUACUGUUGGCAGGAGAGCAUUGCAUCUAUUCUAAGCAACCUCCAUAGGUUCAGGUGGGAAAAAAGUAAGCAUAUUUGACGAGUGAUACUUCGAGGUAAAAAGUUCCCUACUUGUAGUGUAACAAGUAGCUACAACAGCACAAAAUGGUUGUGAAGGUCCAUGUUAUAUACUGUGGGGCCUGAGGUUACAGCUCCAGGUUUAAAGCAUUCAAAAAAGACUUGCUUGAUACUUGCAAACCUGGAGAUGUUGAAGUGACCUCAGAGGCAACACCCACUACUACUGGCUUUUUUGAAGUUCAUGUAGAUGGCAAACUUAUCCAUUCAAAGAAGAAUGGUGAUGGUUUUGUUGAUCGCGAUGAAAAGAUGCAAAAGAUAAUUCUGGCUAUCAAUGCAGCCAAGAAGAGUUGAGCUCUUUUCUGUGUAGCAGUACAGCAUCUCCACUUGAAUUACUUGAUUUGAAUCACCAUGAGUGGCUUCAAUAUGACUGGUUCUGAUUAAAGCAAUACUUUGUAAAGGUCAAAACCAUGAUAGUACCGAAGUUCCCAUUUUGAUUUUUAUUGACUAAUUCUUGUGUGAUUGAUGUAGUACUGUAUUUAUGUACUUUAAUUGUACUUUUUUGUGUGUAAAAUUUAGAUUUCUUUCUUUGAUUAGGUUUUCUAUAAAAGCUUCUAUACAGCCCAUUGUUAUUCAUACAGAUCUCUUGAGUAUUUUAAUUUAACAAGCAACAUAUUUUAUACAAGUAUACUGGUAAGAUUACUGAAAGAUGCAAUAUAUUUCAUUUAUCUUUAUUUUGAUAGAUGGCACUUAAAAUGUAUGGAUAUUCUGAUAUUAAGGCUAACUACAUUUGAUAUUUGUUUUUGAUCUUACAAAUUUUGGUUUUGAUUAAACAUUUUUUGCCUGAAA